rnacentral:lncRNA from 1 species
AAACUGUGAGGUGAUAACCUGCUUUUGUCAGGGGAUGGAGAGGUGGUUUAGUAGUUAAUAGCACAUGCUGCUUUUGCAAAAGACCAUUCCCAACACCCACAUCUCCCAACACCCACAUCAUGUGGUUCACAACCACCUGGAACUCUCGUGCCAAGGGAUCUGACAGCCGCUUUUGACCUCUGAGGUUGCAAGGCACAAAUGCAAGCACUCACAUGUACACAUAGAAUUAAAACAAAAAAAAUAUGUUUUAAAAUUUCCUGUCACUUAAACCACUGAGUUUGUGAUACUCUUACAGCAAUCGCUAACACUGUAUGAAAAUAAAGUUUUCUCUCUGUGUUUAAGGCUGAUAGAUUCUUUCUGGAAGCAAAUCGAAAGAAUAAGAUUGUUCUCCAUUGUUCUGGUGAUUCCAGUCAACACAACUGAUGUCAAAUGUGAUUUUUUUUAAAUUGUGUCAUAAUGACUGAAAGAUACCUAGUAAACUACACACACACACACACACAUACACACACACACACACACACACACACACACACACACAUAUAAAAUCUUCCUGUACCUGCCUUAGCCCCACCCCCUGCUGUAUCUUUCUCCAGAAUUUGGGCAUGGCUUUAGAGUGUGCACCUUUAACCAGUCCACUAGCUUGCUCAUGUUCCCAGGUUAGUUUCCCUUUCUAAAUAUUGUCUGUGUUUCUGUUUGUUUUUAUAAUUUUUCCACUUUACUUUAUUUUCUGUGUACAGGUGUUUGGUCUGCACAUGUCUGUGCACCAUGUGUAUGCCUGGUGCCUGAAGAAAAGGCCAUUAGAUCCCCUGGAACUGGAGUUAUACAUGGUUAGGAGCCACUAUGUAGGUGCUAUGACUCAAACCUGGGUCCUCUGGUAGAGCAGUUAACUCUCAGCUCUCUUAAAAAUAACACACACACACACACCUACACACACAAAGACACUUGACAUGCAUCCUAUCUAGCAAAGUAGAAUGUAUUCAGGGGUUUUAGUGUUAUAUUAAGCCAGCGUCAGCAAAUAGUAAAAUGGGCAAGGCCUGCUAACCAACUCUCUUUGUAAGAAGUUUGGUUGGGACACAGCCACAUAUGUUUAUCUGUGUGUUAUGCAAGGUUAAAGCCAUGCUACAAGAACAGAGCUGAAUGGUUGUCCUGAAAGUUUCGUGACUCCUGAGCCUAAAUGGGCUAUCUGGUCUGUGAAGAAUUUGCUAGGUCCUACUUUAGAAAACUUUGUGGUUUUUGUUUUUAGUGUUGUUGCUUAAGAUUUAUCUUGACGUUUAUUUAUGUAUAUGUGUGUGGGCCUAAGUAUAUAUCUGUACCAUGUGUGUACAGGUCACUGUGGAGACCAGAAGAGGCACUGGGUCCCCUGGAGCUGGUAUUACAUGUUGUUCUGAGUAUUCCAGGGUGGGUGCUAGGGAUCAAACCCAGGUCCUCUACAAAAGCAGCCAAUGCACUUAGUGUCAGAGUUGUCUGCUAAGCCCCGUGACUAAGUCUGAAUCAGUGAGUUUGGCAAUAUAGGUGAGAUGAGAUAAGGUUACAGACUUGGCUUGGUUUGGGCGAUGAGUUGUUAGAAAGAAUCCUGACCAUUUCUGAGUAAAACAAAGAUGAGAAAAACAAAGAUACUGGGACUUGUAGAAGACACUGUCAGGACCUGACUUUCUAGAAAUAUACAGACAUAGUUGUUGAGUAUAUGCAGCAAUACCAUGCAAGAAUAACAGGCUUCCUCUGCUGGCUCAUUGCUGGCAGGUCCAGGCAAGAAGGGAGAGGUCUGGGUCCCGCCAGGGUCUCUCUGGGGCUGAGUGGGAAGUCGAGUGUCAAUGGCCCAAAGGAAACACACCAAAGAGCCUUGUUGAAGCAGGAACUCGACUUUAUGGCAUCAGCCUCUUGCUUAUAUAAGUUCAGAACACAGGAAGGGGGAUCUUUGGUGGAUAAGAUGAUGUAGGAGGCAGGGAAGGGUGCCGGAGGGUAUGGAGUGACUGACAGGGUCAAUGGCAAAGCUCUGCAUCAGCAAUGGCAGGGCCAAACAGGUCUUCCUGAGUCACCCUGAUACAGAAGUGACUAGCCAGGCUCAGGUUUAUAAUCAAGGCCCAAACCAGUGCCAAAAUGGGGCUCACCAUUCCUCUAGUUCAUACCUAAGAUAAGGUAGUAAUUGUAAUACUUAUAGCCCACCAAUUUAGUUCUAUGCCCCAGCUCCUGAGAACUGUUACUGUUCUUAUGCUAACCAUACUAGUUUCCUGUUGCUUAUAACAAACUAUCACAAAAUUACUGACUAAACAGAAGACACUUUGCCUUUAUGGUUUUGUAGGUUAGGGGGCCAGCGGGCAUGUUGCAAUGCUAAGAUCUAGGUGUUUACAAGGCACUUUGCCUAGGAAAUGGGCUGUAGGGUGAGCACACGUUCUGCUGCUUCAGAUUGCUGCAGGAUCGAUCGGCUUCUUGCAUUUGGAUGACUAGGUUCAUGCUAUCCUUCUGGCUGCUAGAUGGGGUUACCCCAGCUGCAUCCUGUAGCCCAUAAUCUCCUUUCUCUAUGUAUGACAUUGGCAGCAGGAUCAAGUCCUUCCCAUACUUCUAAUCUCCUUCCCACUGUGAAAGGCUUAUGUGAGUAGGGUAACGUAGCCUCCAUGUGAAACCUUCAUAUUACAUCAGCUGUAUUCAAUGUCACUUCCCUUUUGCUAUUAACGUGACAUAUUUAUGCCUUCUGGGGAUUUGGACAUGGACAAAUAUUCUUGGGAAACUGUACCAAUACUGCAU